rnacentral:rRNA from 1 species
UUAAAGGUUACGGUAAGAGAUGAGUAUGCGUCCUAUUAGCUAGAUGGUAAGGUAACGGCUUACCAUGGCGACGAUAGGGUACGGGCCUGAGAGGGGGAUCCCCCACACUGGUACUGAGACACGGACCAGACUCCUACGGGAGGCAGCAGUGAGGAAUAUUGGACAAUGGGCGCAAGCCUGAUCCAGCCAUGCCGCGUGCAGGAAGACGGCCCUAUGGGUUGUAAACUGCUUUGUACGGGAAGAAACACCACUACGCGUAGUGGCUUGACGGUACCGUAAGAAUAAGGAUCGGCUAACUCCGUG